UACGAAGGGGGCUAGCGUUGCUCGGAAUGACUGGGCGUAAAGGGCGCGUAGGCGGAUGGCACAGUCAGAUGUGAAAUUCCCGGGCUUAACCUGGGGGCUGCAUUUGAUACGUGUUGUCUUGAGUUCGGAAGAGGGUCGUGGAAUUCCCAGUGUAGAGGUGAAAUUCGUAGAGAUCGGAAAGAACACCAACGGCGAAAGCACUCUGCUGGGCCGACACUGACACUGAGAGACGAAAGCUAGGGGAGCGAAUGGG
rnacentral:rRNA from 1 species